rnacentral:rRNA from 1 species
UACGAAGGGGGCUAGCGUUGUUCGGAAUUACUGGGCGUAAAGCGCGCGUAGGCGGAUUGCUAAGUCAGGGGUGAAAUCCCGAGGCUCAACCUCGGAACUGCCUUUGAUACUGGUGAUCCGGAGUCCGGAAGAGGUUGGUGGAAUUCCGAGUGUAGAGGUGAAAUUCGUAGAUAUUCGGAGGAACACCAGAGGCGAAGGCGGCCAACUGGUCCGGUACUGACGCUGAGAUGCGAAAGCGUGGGGAGCAAACAGG